CAUUUUAUAUCUUUCCUGAUCUGUGUCCAAUCUGCUUUUUUGACCAUCUUUUUCCUAAGAAACAAUGAUAAUGAAACAGAGCUAAGCUGGGUGGGGGACAAGAGGAAGACCCAGUUGGUAGGUCCUCACUUGCAUGCUUAAGAUUGCAGGACACAACCCCAAAGCAGGCACUGUUCAAAAGUUGGAGGAAAAACUUGCGGGAACAUGAUCCUUGUACAUUAGCAACUCCUGUUCAAGUAGAUUGUUCUUAUGUGUGGACCUUGAAGUGAGAAGAAAUG